GCUGUGAUGUUUUUUUUUGUGGCAGUGAUCUACUUGAGCUGAUCUAGUCCACAAUUUCCUCUAAGAAGUUCUGAGCUU
ensembl:snoRNA